UUUGAUUUUAGCUUUGGAAGAACAUAAAUCUAAAGCUGUCAGGAGGAUCAACAGAAUUAUCGAUUUGAGAGAGGGUUGGAGUGCAGGGUAUUCAUAGUUUAUACUAAGUGACCCAUAGGUUGAGGAGGUGGUGACCGUGGAAGAGGAGGAUGAGGUAGCCAACACUGGUAAUGGGGAAUCAGGAUUCCAUUCCAUACAGGCACCCUGAGAAAUGGCUACCACAUGCAAGGAAGGCAGCAGGCGUGCAAAUGACCCACUCCCGACGCGGCAAGGCAGUGAUG